rnacentral:rRNA from 1 species
GAUGAACGCUGGCGGCGUGCUUAACACAUGCAAGUCGAGCGAAGCACUUAAGUCUGAUUCUUCGGAUGAAGACUUUUGUGACUGAGCGGCGGACGGGUGAGUAACGCGUGGGUAACCUGCCUCAUACAGGGGGAUAACAGUUAGAAAUGACUGCUAAUACCGCAUAAGACCACGGUACCGCAUGGUACAGUGGUAAAAACUCCGGUGGUAUGAGAUGGACCCGCGUCUGAUUAGGUAGUUGGUGGGGUAACGGCCUACCAAGCCGACGAUCAGUAGCCGACCUGAGAGGGUGACCGGCCACAUUGGGACUGAGACACGGCCCAGACUCCUACGGGAGGCAGCAGUGGGGAAUAUUGCACAAUGGAGGAAACUCUGAUGCAGCGACGCCGCGUGAAGGAUGAAGUAUUUCGGUAUGUAAACUUCUAUCAGCAGGGAAAAAAAUGACGGUACCUGACUAAGAAGCCCCGGCUAACUACGUGCCAGCCGCCGCAGUAA